UGGAAAUCCAGGCCAGCAGGGCCAGCCCGGGCAUCCGGGACCCCGGGGACGGCCGGGCCCCAAAGGAUCAAAAGGGGACGAGGGACCAAAGGGAAAGCAAG